rnacentral:tRNA from 1 species
GCGCUGCUAGUCGUGGUUGGCGGCGUCCUGCUCGCGCUGGGACUUGCAGGCAUCUGAUCGGGUGGGCAUCGGUUGCGUAACCGGUGUGGCGAA